rnacentral:rRNA from 1 species
GACGAACGCUGGCGGCGUGCUUAACACAUGCAAGUCGAACGAAGAGCGAUGGAAGCUUGCUUCUAUCAAUCUUAGUGGCGAACGGGUGAGUAACGCGUAAUCAACCUGCCCUUCAGAGGGGGACAACAGUUGGAAGCGACUGCUAAUACCGCAUACGAUCUAAUCUCGGCAUCGAGGAUAGAAGAAAGGUGGCCUCUACAUGUAAGCUAUCACUGAAGGAGGGGAUUGCGUCUGAUUAGCUAGUUGGAGGGGUAACGGCCCACCAAGGCGAUGAUCAGUAGCCGGUCUGAGAGGAUGAACGGCCACAUUGGGACUGAGACACGGCCCAGACUCCUACGGGAGGCAGCAGUGGGGAAUCUUCCGCAAUGGACGAAAGUCUGACGGAGCAACGCCGCGUGAGCGAUGACGGCCUUCGGGUUGUAAAGCUCUGUUAAUCGGGACGAAAGGCCUUCUUGCGAAUAGUGAGAAGGAUUGACGGUACCGGAAUAGAAAGCCACGGCUAACUACGUG